GUCAAGCGCUGCGAAUGGUAGUGGGAAAGAUUUACGGCUCAUGAAGACGUCGGACGGUGUGAAGAGGAACGUUGCCUCAGUGAGGGCAUCGCAAGAGACGGCAGCAGUGUGUGAAUCCCGAGCUGCGCCACCAGCUGACUCGCCGAAGGUGGCUUCUUCGCACGCUAUUGUUGAUUGACAGUGCUCUCUUCGCUCGAAUCGUCAGUAUUAACAGCGGGCAAAUGAUCGCUACCUGAGCGCUGAUUCUACCUCAUCCACCUCAAGAUCCAUCAUCAACUGAAGGUGGGACUACCACUGUGCCACAUCACAACUCUUAUAUUGCCUCAUUCGUACCACGGACUGCCGACUACUGGAACCACUAUCCCGC